CCCCUGCAUUAUCUGGUCCACCCCCAUCUCCCAUCAUGAAGUAUAAAUGCCCAUCUGUAGGUCCAAAAAGAAUCUGUCCUGCAUGAUGCGAUGUGAAUGGAAGGCCCAUUGUAAGUAUCCUUCUAACUUCCAAUGGUUUCGCAGUUGUUGCCAAGGAAGCCUCAACGGCUGUACUGUUUGCAGUAUAUUCUGCAAUNAUAUUGGCAUGGCUGUGCACCAUUAUCAGGAGCCAGCUUUGAAGGAUCACAAUUCACAUCU
rnacentral:misc_RNA from 1 species